rnacentral:lncRNA from 1 species
GGGCGCGGCCCCAGGCGGAGGGGCCCCGGCAGCGGCCCGGGGAGGGGUCAGAGCCGCGGGGUGCGGGGUGCGGGGUGCGGGGCGAGGAAGACCAGCCCUAGACCACCGCCCGCGUCUGCUUGGGAGACUGGGGGCGGAGGACGGAGCCCCCCGAGGGGGCGAGGUGGGACUCACGGCCUAGGCAGCGCGGAUAACUCCCGUCCUCUGUCCUUCCUGCAGUGGGUGCUCAGGGGCUACUCGCUCCACGAACGAGCCAGUGAAUGCAGCCAUCUCGCAGGGGUUCCAUGGAGCCGUGGGCGCGCAUGUCCUUGCCCAGAGCCAGAGGAAAGUCACAGGUGGACUUCGAACUCUACGGGGGUCCUUAAGUGGAGCGGGCUGUCUCUCUUCUGUCCACAUCACACUUUUAAUGGCUCCCUAGCAUUGCAUCAGAUAGUUGUACUGUACCUCGUUCAGCUAAUCCUCUAUUGCUGUGCUUAGUCCAUUUCUAGUUUUUCAUACGUGGAGACAACACUCCGACGAACAUUCCCGUGGGUAGGUUUGUGCACGUUCAUGAUUAUUCUUUAUUUCAGUGGGUAUGCCCAUAGAUUUUUGAAGCUUUCUUCUAAUGGGGUCUGACUUGUAGGAGGGACAUCUCCUAGGCACCAAGGUAGCAUAGUGGUGUGUAGGGUCUGUGUGACCAAGAGGGUGGUGUAGGUGGGGUAGGGAGGCUGGAGGGAGGAGCCUUCCAGAAGACACACAGUGACAGUGAGGUGCCCUGAGAGUCCUCAAAUGCCAGGCUAUGAGGAUUUGUCCUAGAGUGUGCUCUGUAUCACUCCUGUUACUCAUAAGGUAUGGUCACCUUACCAACUCUAUUGUUGAAGGGAAUCUUCUGAUACUAGAGGCGAGAAGGGGAG